AAUCAACGCUGGCGGCGUGCCUCAGACAUGCAAGUCGAACGCGAAAGGCUCCUUCGGGGGCCGAGUAGAGUGGCGCACGGGUGAGUAACACGUAGGUAAUUUGCCUUUGGGUGGGGAAUAACUCAGGGAAACUUGAGCUAAUACCGCAUAAUGCAGCGGCUCGACAUCGAGACAGUUGUUAAAGCGGGGGAUCGCAAGACCUCGCGCCUGAAGAGAAGCCUGCGGCAGAUUAGCUAGUUGGUAGGGUAAUGGCCUACCAAGGCGACGAUCUGUAACCGGCCUGAGAGGGCGGUCGGUCACACUGACACUGACAUACGGGUCAG
rnacentral:rRNA from 1 species